GACGAACGCUGGCGGCGUGCCUAAUACAUGCAAGUAGAACGCUGAAGGAGGAGCUUGCUUCUCUGGAUGAGUUGCGAACGGGUGAGUAACGCGUAGGUAACCUGCCUGGUAGCGGGGGAUAACUAUUGGAAACGAUAGCUAAUACCGCAUAAUAGUAGAUGUCGCAUGACAUUUGCUUAAAAGGUGCAAUUGCAUCACUACCAGAUGGACCUGCGUUGUAUUAGCUAGUUGGUGAGGUAACGGCUCACCAAGGCAACGAUACAUAGCCGAACGGAGAGGGUGGGCAGCCACACUGGGACGGAGACAGGGCCCAGACUCCUACGGGAGGCAGCAGUAGGGAAUCUUCGGCAAUGGACGGAAGUCUGACCGAGCAACGCCGCGUGAGUGAAGAAGGUUUUCGGAUCGUAAAGCUCUGUUGUAAGGGAAGAACGAGUGUGAGAGUGGAAAGUUCACACUGUGACGGUAUCUGACCAGAAAGGGACGGCUAACUACGUG
rnacentral:rRNA from 1 species